GUUCUUCUCAACCAUCUGUAUGUCUGACUCCUUUGACAAUUCCAGGUGUUGUCGGAGCCCGAUCCUGCAAAUCAUUUCUCCAGGCAGCCCUCACACGUGAGGGAUCCCAGGCAUAGCGAAAAGACUGCGGGUGUGACUGACUCCACAUAACAUGUACUGUACAAUAGACAAUGGUGAAGAAGUGAAGAAGCCUAAUGGUAGCCACUUUUCACAGAAUACUGAUUAUAAUAUCUUCCAGGGGCAGCUGUUUCCAACAAGAAAGAAAAGUACCCAUCUAAAAUCAGCAGUUCAGCUUAAUGAUGUCACAACAUUUGCCAGGCUGUGGGCACUGAAGAGAAGACGUGAAAAUACUCCCACUGAAUCAGAUCCCCUCCUCUCACUAAGCACAGUUAAACAGCCCAUCUGUCUCACAUUGGAACUGUUAUCUUUGAAACAUCAUUCUAUUAUUACCACAGUGGUUUUAAAAAACUGUCCUUAAUUUUAGACAUCUUAAAAACAAGUUUUUAAAUUCUCUGGAGAUUUUUAACCCAGAUCUCAAAUACUGACACCAAGCAAUGGUAGGAAGAUCCUCUCAGUAGGAUAUGGUUCAAGUACUGCAAAUCAUCAUUCAUUUACCAAAGGUAACCUUUUGUGAAAUACAGAUAUCCUAUAUUAAAAACAUUCACAACAAAGGAUCCAACCCCUCCCUAAUCUCUAAUAUUUUUGAAAGUGUGAAUUGAAGAGGACUGAGAGACAGAUGGGUCUGGAUGAUCAAGUUACCUGUUAUAGCGGCACAUCUGUCAGGGCAGUCAAUCACUGUGAUGUCUGUGACAGGUCGAUGGAGGCUGUGUAUGAAAGGCUAAUGCAGAGAGAAGCUGAGGAAGGGCUGCCCUCCUGCUUGUGUCUUGGGUUUGGCUGGUCUGAAAGCUACUCUUGAAUUUGCUCUGGUUAAAAAAAAAACUGUCUGUAGCACACUGGUUCUAGGAAAAAGGCUUCAGUCACAAUAAAAAUAUGCUAGUGUAUUGAGCA
rnacentral:lncRNA from 1 species